rnacentral:rRNA from 1 species
AACGAACGCUGGCGGCAUGCCUAACACAUGCAAGUCGAACGAGACCUUCGGGUCUAGUGGCGCACGGGUGCCUAACGCGUGGGAACCUGCCCUUAGGUUCGGAAUAACUCCCCGAAAGGGGUGCUAAUACCGGAUAAUGUCUUCGGACCAAAGAUUUAUCGCCUUUGGAUGGGCCCGCGUUGGAUUAGCUAGUUGGUAGGGUAAAAGCCUACCAAGGCGACGAUCCAUAGCUGGUCUGAGAGGAUGAUCAGCCACACUGGGACUGAGACACGGCCCAGACUCCUACGGGAGGCAGCAGUGGGGAAUAUUGGACAAUGGGCGAAAGCCUGAUCCAGCAAUGCCGCGUGAGUGAUGAAGGCCUUAGGGUUGUAAAGCUCUUUUACCCGGGAUGAUAAUGACAGUACCGGGAGAAUAAGCUCCGGCUAACUCCGUG